rnacentral:rRNA from 1 species
AUGUUUUCUUCUCAAUCCCUGAGUCGUGUCAACAAUAUUCGCACUACCUUGAUCAAUGCACAGAAGGGCACCCAAUCGGUUGCUGCAUACUACGCUCACAUGCGUGGCCUUGCCGAUGAACUCGCCGCGGCCGACAAGCCCAUCCAGGACGAUGAGCUCAUCUCCUACCUGCUGCAUGGGCUGGAUAUGGACUACCAGCCCCUCGUCUCCGCCCUCGACGCCCGUGUCACGCCUGUCUCCCUCGACGAGCUGUACUCCAUGAUGAGCAACUUCGAUCAGCAUGUGGCUCAGUUUCACAGCACCGGC